rnacentral:misc_RNA from 1 species
AACAUCGCGCACCUGCGGGAACCUGCGGAGGAUCAUUACAGAGUUGCAAAACUCCCUAAACCAUUGUGAACGUUACCUAAACCGUUGCUUCGGCGGGCGGCCCGGGUCCUUCCCGGCGCCCAUCGGCCCUCGCGGGCGCCCGCCGGAGGUAAACCAAACUAUUGCAUUGUAUGGCCUCUCUGAGUCUUCUGUACUGAAUAAGUCAAAACUUUCAACAACGGAUCUCAGAUCGGAAGAGCA